AGCGACGCCGCGUGGGCGAUGAAGGCCUUCGGGUCGUAAAGCCCUUUUCUGGGGGAAGAGAAAGGACGGUACCCCAGGAAUAAGCCCCGGCUAACUACGUGCCAGCAGCCGCGGUAAAACGUANGGGGCAAGCGUUAUCCGGAUUAACUGGGCGUAAAGAGCGUUGAGGCGGUUUUGUAAGUUGGGCGUGAAAGCCCUGGGCUUAACUCAGGGAAGCCGUUCAAUACUGCGAAACUUGAGGGCAGCAGAGGGAGGUGGAAUUCCCGGAGUAGCGGUGAAAUGCAUAGAUAUCGGGAGGAACACCAGUGGCGAAGGCGGCCUCCUGGGCUGCUCCUGACGCUGAAGGCGAAAGCUAGGGGAGCGAACGGGAUUAGAAACCCCGGUAGUCCUAGCCGUAAACGAUGGAUGCUAGGUGUGGGGGGUGUAGAUUCCCUCCGUGCCGCAGUUAACGCGUUAAGCAUCCCGCCUGGGGAGUACGGCCGCAAGGCUAAAACUCAAACGAAUUGACGGGGGCCCGCACAAGCAGCGGAGCGUGUGGUUUAAUUCGAUGCUACACGAAGAACCUUACCUGGGCUUGACAUACAGGUAGUAGUGAAGUGAAAGCGGAUCGAUCCUUCGGGGAGCCUGUACAGGUGCUGCAUGGCUGUCGUCAGCUCGUGCCGUGAGGUGUCGGGUUAAGUCCCGUAACGAGCGCAACCCUUGCUCUUAGUUAUACGUGUCUAAGAGGACUGCCGGCGGUAAGCCGGAGGAAGGUGGGGAUGACGUCAAGUCAGCAUGGCCUUUAUGUCCAGGGCUACACACACGCUACAAUGGCCGGUACAAUGGGUAGCUAAACCGCGAGGUGGAGCCAAUCCUGUAAAGCCGGUCUCAGUUCGAAUUGCAGGCUGCAACUCGCCUGCAUGAAGUCGGAGUUG
rnacentral:rRNA from 1 species